UACUUUUAUUUUGAAAAGACGAGGAUAUCCUGUUGAAAAUACUUUUAUUUUGAAAAGACGAGGAUAUCCUGUCGCUUAGCUUUUGUGCUUCAGUUCAGUUCGCUAUGUAUAGGAUUUCAGAAAACCAAUUCUGUGUCCAUUAAAUCGACGUUUUUACCACCGCGUUAUCCGUUCGUCAUCUAUGAACACGAUUUUCCCGGUUGCUAACUGCUCUCGGUGAAACGGAUAUGAUGGUGAAAUGGCUCCCUCCGGUUCAAAUAUUGAGCAGCAAGCCUUUGACGGUAUUAAUACAUCGCUCGUGAUUGAUCCAGACAGCGCAGCCGCUGGUAAAACAAGAUCCAUCUCCAACAUUUUUUAUGAGAAAUCAAAAUUUUAGAGAGACUCUAUUUUAAAUGGUAAUAUAUGCCAUGAUAGUAACAUAUUACCGAAACAAAUAAUUUAUCAUACAUUUAAACAUGUAUUCAACACUUAUUUAUUAAGCUCAUUGAUCUUAUAAAACACUAUUCACUUAUUUUAAAGAAGUUAAUUAAUAUAUUGUAAUUACAUAUAUAACACACUGUAUUAAAUAAACAUUUAAUAUAGUUUUAGGUCAUAAUAAAUACGGCUUACAUUUUUCUGUGCAUAAUGAUGUCCAUUCCGUGAAUGAAAUGUUUCCAAUAAAACGCAUUUAGUAUAAGUUGAAAUAUUAACAAAACGUCCCAGAUCGUCCCAGGGUUAAACACCAGUGUGAAAUGAAUGUUUCAGACCCACUCAGAGGAGGGGGUAGUUACAGACCAGAAGAUCUGAGGUGUUAUUCUGUUAACCUUUUUUCAAACCGCAUGUUAUGGCUGUAUUAAUAAUGAAUUCAAAGUCUAAUCUUAAGACUUUAAAUAAACAUUUUUUUUUCCUUACAUUUCCUGUGGUUUUUUGCUUACAUUUCAACUAAAGUAUAAUUUAUUCCACAUCAAUCGCUUCAGCAUCUUUAAAAGUUUCUUAUUUAAAGUAUCAUCUUCAAUGUUUUGAUCACCUCUCACAUGUGAUGAAACAUUUAA